UGAAGGUCAGGCUGAAGACCUUACCCGAUUAGCUGAGAGGUGGUGCAUGGCCGUCGUCAGUUCGUACUGUGAAGCAUCCUGUUAAGUCAGGCAACGAGCGAGACCCACGUCCACAGUUGCCAGCAUACCCUCCGGGGUGAUGGGUACACUGUGGAGACCGCCGCUGCUAAAGCGGAGGAAGGAGUGGGCAACGGUAGGUCAGUAUGCCCCGAAUCUCCCGGGCUACACGCGGGCUACAAUGGUUGGUACAAUGGGCAUCUACCCCGAAAGGGGAAGGAAAUCUCUUAAAGCCAAUCGUAGUUCGGAUUGAGGGCUGCAACUCGCCCUCAUGAAGCUGGAAUCCGUAGUAAUCGCGUUUCAACAGAACGCGGUGAAUACGUCCCUGCUCCUU
rnacentral:rRNA from 1 species